GCGGUCGUAGCUCAGCUGGAUAGAGUACCUGACUACGAAUCAGGUGGUCGGAGGUUCAAAUCCUCCCGUCCGCACCA
rnacentral:tRNA from 1 species